GCAGUGAUGGUUCAGUGGUAGAAUUCUCACCUUCCAUGCUGGAGACCUGGGUUCCAUUCCCUGCCAAUGCA
rnacentral:tRNA from 1 species